GACGAGGGAUCCAAGCGUUGUUCGGAAUCAUUGGGCGUAAGCGGGUGUAGGUGGCUUUGUAAGUCGGGUGUGAAAGCCCAGGGCUCAACCCUGGAAGUGCAUUCGAUACUGCGAAGCUUGAGUGUAGGAGAGGUUACUAGAAUUCUUGGUGUAGUGGUGAAAUACGUAGAUAUCAAGAGGAAUACCGGAGGCGAAGGCGGGUAACUGGCCUAACACUGACACUCAGACCCGAAAGCGUGGGGAUCAAACAGG
rnacentral:rRNA from 1 species